GUUAUCCUACGGGACGCAGCAGUGGGGAAUAUUGCACAAUGGGGGAAACCCUGAUGCAGCGACGCCGCGUGAGUGAAGAAGUAAUUCGUUAUGUAAAGCUCUAUCAGCAGGGAAGAAAAUGACGGUACCUGAGUAAGAAGCACCGUCUAACUACGUGCCAGCAGCCGCGGUAAUACGUAGGGGGCAAGCGUUAUCCGGAUUUACUGGGUGUAAAGGGAGCGUAGACGGCAGUGCAAGUCUGGAGUGAAAGGCGGG
rnacentral:rRNA from 1 species